rnacentral:rRNA from 1 species
CCUACGGGAGGCAGCAGUGAGGAAUAUUGGUCAAUGGACGAGAGUCUGAACCAGCCAAGUAGCGUGAAGGAUGACUGCCCUAUGGGUUGUAAACUUCUUUUAUAUGGGAAUAAAACGUUCCACGUGUGGGAUUUUGUAUGUACCAUAUGAAUAAGGAUCGGCUAACUCCGUGCCAGCAGCCGCGGUAAUACGGAGGAUCCGAGCGUUAUCCGGAUUUAUUGGGUUUAAAGGGAGCGUAGGUGGAUGGUUAAGUCAGUUGUGAAAGUUUGCGGCUCAACCGUAAAAUUGCAGUUGAAACUGGCAGUCUUGAGUACAGUAGAGGUGGGCGGAAUUCGUGGUGUAGCGGUGAAAUGCUUAGAUAUCACGAAGAACUCCGAUUGCGAAGGCAGUUCACUGGACUGCAACUGACACUGAGGCUCGAAAGUGUGGGUAUCAAACAGGAUUAGAUACCCUAGUAGUC